rnacentral:rRNA from 1 species
GAUCAUGGCUCAGAUUGAACGCUGGCGGCAGGCCUAACACAUGCAAGUCGAGCGGAUGAGAGGAGCUUGCUCCUUGAUUCAGCGGCGGACGGGUGAGUAAUGCCUAGGAAUCUGCCUAUUAGUGGGGGACAACGUUUCGAAAGGAACGCUAAUACCGCAUACGUCCUACGGGAGAAAGCAGGGGACCUUCGGGCCUUGCGCUAAUAGAUGAGCCUAGGUCGGAUUAGCUAGUUGGUG